rnacentral:rRNA from 1 species
UACGAAGGGGGCUAGCGUUGCUCGGAAUCACUGGGCGUAAAGCGCACGUAGGCGGCUUCUUAAGUCAGGGGUGAAAUCCUGGAGCUCAACUCCAGAACUGCCUUUGAUACUGAGGAGCUUGAGUCCGGGAGAGGUGAGUGGAACUGCGAGUGUAGAGGUGAAAUUCGUAGAUAUUCGCCAGAACACCAGUGGCGAAGGCGGCUCACUGGCCCGGUACUGACGCUGAGGUGCGAAAGCCAGGGGAGCGAACGGG